rnacentral:rRNA from 1 species
UACGGGGGGGGCAAGCGUUGUUCGGAAUUACUGGGCGUAAAGGGCUCGUAGGCGGCCAACUAAGUCAGACGUGAAAUCCCUCGGCUUAACCGGGGAACUGCGUCUGAUACUGGAUGGCUUGAGAUUGGGAGAGGGAUGCGGAAUUCCAGGUGUAGCGGUGAAAUGCGUAGAUAUCUGGAGGAACACCGAUGGCGAAGGCAGCCUCCUGGGCCAGCACUGACGCUCAGGCACGAAAGCGUGGGGAGCAAACAGG